UUCUGUUUAGGGAAAUACAGACUGGGAAUGCAGGAUUCCUAGCACAAGUUUUCGUGGUGAAGGCUGCUACCAGGAACCUUUCCCUGGGAAUAGUUAAUAGUUUUAACUAAAAAUAAAAUGAGAAGAAGAAAUAAAUAAGGAAAGACCACAUCUACUGGGAAACUUCUGAGCCCCUGAGUAGUUCCAGAAGAUUCAUAAAUUUCUGGUCCACUAAGAGAUCUUGAGUGUCUUCCUUUUCAGAGGGAAAUAGAAGCAUCAAUAACCAUUAGUGCACAUUUUAACAAUUUGGAUCUUAUACACACAAAAAAAUUAGAGGAAAUUACAAUUAAGUAGGAGUAUUUCCUGUUACUGUAAUUUGGGGCUAGUGUUUAAAUAAGCUGUUAGUUCUGCAUACUUUUUCAAAGGCAUAGUGUUUCUCAUUUUUAAUGCUAUUCUCACUUUUUGAGAUUUAAUUCUUCCUUUAAGAAUCAAACUUUUUUCUUAUUUCCUGGCUAUCAAUGAUCCAAAGCUGCCUGUUUCCUCUUUGUUUCCUUCUAGCUUUAUAUUGCAUACUUUCAACAAACUACUUCUACACAGAUGACAUUUCAUUUCUCUGUGUGUUAUGAUAUAUCUGUCUGCUGGAGUAUCUACAUACACGCAUUACAUAUUUGGUGACCACCUUCCCCAGCCCUCACACAAAGAGCCUGCAGUGAAUAAGCAGGAUAAUCUAGCAGAACCGCCUUUCUUAACAAACCUGCCCAAAGCUGUUGCCUACAGUGACUUUCCUGACUUCAGCCUCUCUGCAAGUCAAAGGUGAACCCCAUUAAAAUCCUCACUUUUGCCUCCCACUUGAAUUCUGAAAUGAGUUCAAUCUGGAAAAAAUAUUUUAAAAUCUCCAAGACUACUUGUUUAAAAUUCACCGCUCAAUGCCCAACUUUAGUCAAGAGAGCCACCAUGUGGGGAGUUUUGAUGACUUCAAGAUCUGUUAAAGGAAGAAACCACAAACAGGAAAAUUAAGCAAGCCUUCAAAAGUGCCAGCUUGCUUCCAGCUCACAGGGGUUGUGCCAAUCUCGCUCACUGGACCUCAAAGGUAUUUGGGGUCCAACACCCCAAAAUCACAUGAGUUGAGGUCGAUUCCACUCACUAGAGUGAAAAACUCAGCAGAGAAUUUGAGAUUCUUGAUGGAUAAACUCCAGAGACCUGGUCUUUCUGGGUGCCAUCUAAAGCCCACCUAGCCCUGCCCCACAGUGGCCCAAGGACUAAAACCCUAGAGCCAGAACAGGCUCAUUUCUGCAGAUAUUUUCAUGGCCAAUGGCCAUCUUUAAUUAGGAGAGUUUGGCCUCUGGAGAUCAAGGAAGCAUUCCUAUUGAGAGUUCUGGCCUGAGCCCUUGAUCAGAAAUAUUAGGAGAAGGGGAGAAGGCUGAACCCUUGGUUGAUGAGAAGUGAGGAAGGCUGUGAGAGAGAGAGAAAAAAGUGAGAAGCUGAGGGCUGAUGUUCUGAGAGCUGUGUGAGUUUGGGACUGCAUCCUACUUGGUCAAAUUUAUCCACUGGAGCCCUUCCUGCUUUGAAUGGUGAGUGAUAUCUCAAAGACCAAGGGUGGCUCCCUAACUACUCACAAGAAUAGGUAUUUGCUGCUAAUUUCAGGGAUGCUCCAGGGCAUCCUUAAAAUGCUGUGUCUGGAAGGCUUUUGAGUUUGGAGUUUUGAACUUAUGUGCAGUGAGUAACCAUCAGCCAAAAAAACAGUCAAGAAAGCUCCCCACCCAACACUGUCCACACUGACUGGUGUGCUAGCAAAGACUGGGUAGGAGACCAAAGCCAGCCAUGUAGACUUGUUAAUUAGGCAUGCACCUGGCAACUUGGACUAAGAUGCAGGAAGGAGCCUAAGCACAGAUCCAAGGGACCUUCAACAAAAUAGCUGUUCCUGGGAAGAAUAGGGAGAAGGAGAGGAGAAGAGAGAAGAAUAUGAAGGGGGGAAGGCCUUCUGAUUUUUUUUUUUAAUCCGAUUUCUAUCCCAAGUGGAUUUUUAUAUCCUCCUACCAGUGACUCUGUAAAGAACAUGAAGAAUUCCUUGAUAUCCUAUAUAUAAUUGCAAGACGCGGGGGGGGGGGGGCGUCAAACUUUCUAGUUAGAUAGCACAAAGAAAUGGAAAUAUUUCUCAACACCCAUAUUCCGUCCUCUUCAUCCUCACAGUUUGGUAUACUUCCCAGGCUGACCAUUUCUUUCCAGACUAUGAAACCCAAGAAUGUUACAUUAGCUGGACUCAUAUUAUCUUAGAAAAGAUGGAAGAGCCAGGGCAUCUUGGAAUGCAAGCUCUCACCGCUAUCCUCCAACAGGCAGUGGCUGAAGGUACCUGAGUCUAAGCCCCCUACUCUCUGACCUACCUCGAAAACAAUCUUCAGAAAUGUUUAUUAGAAAUGUAUAAAAGCCCUUAAUUUCAAAUUUAUGUUGCCUCUUGUUUUCCCUGUUAGUCCUUCAGAUGUGAAAACAAGUUUUGAUCCAAAACAAUGAACCAGAUAAAAAUCAAAUUAACAUAUUCCCUGAAUUGUUUCUCCUGCCACAUACAUCUGCAUUUCUGUUGUGGGAGCCUUGAAUAUUAAGUCACCACUCAAUUCAAAUAAUUUUUUAGCCUUCAAAGAAGUAGAUUUUUGUAUCAAAACCAUUUAUGUCUUUGGAAACAUGACCACACAAUAGCACUUGCAGGGUCUUGUCAGUCGAUCAGAUUCCUGCUCUUUGAACCAUCUCCACCUGAGGAAUCUGUUGAGUGGGAAUCUUCAUCCAUCAAAUCCAUGGUGAGUUAAAUUAUCUUUUUGCCUUUAUGCAGACCAGUGAAGUGGGACUCAGUUUCCCAGAAAAUGUGAUGACUAAUGACUCACUGCAUACUGAUUCCACCUGUAGGGAAACCCAAAUGUUUUGCCACAGAACAUCAUGACCAUGGCUUACUUUGCUGUCUGCAUCAUUCUCUUCUGAACUCACUGUGAAGUAACGAGAGAUGAGCUUACCCAUAAUGUGUCAUGACUUCUCUGACCUUCAGAGUGGAAUGCCUCCCACUCUGAAAACAACCAGGAAAGGGAGCCUCUCCAAACCAUAUGAUGGCUGAACGAGUGGGUGCUGUUAACCAAUGUCAGCUGAAGAUAUUCUUCUGCAUGGCCAUCGUUGAUUUGGCUUUCAUCUUCAAGUUUGGAAUCUCUUGCUCACAGCUGUCUACUGGUCAAAGUAAAGACACAGAUGGCAUCACUGCUUCCUGGAAGGUCAUUAGCAACAACGGCAUGAACUGGAAAGACGUUUUGACUGUUGCUUGCUCAGCCUUACAACCCUCUAAAACUACAAGAUGAUUCCUCCUGAAGUGCAGCCUGCAACUUCAGGAAUUCCAGUUGCCAGAUGUUUGGGGGGG